AGGAGGGCACACCCAAGGGGACUACAACUCCCAGAAUGCACCUCCCACUCAGCUGCUUUGCUUCUCCCUCCCUCUCACCCCGUUCCUUUGGUUUUCCUCAAGCCAGAAUCUCUGUCUACCGACUGCUGUUCUCGGAACCCGUGCCCUUGGCUGCCCCUCCUGCGCUGUGCCAAAGCGCCAGAGUGAUUUCAAACGCACAGUCGUUUUGUUUAAAGCCGUGACCGACGAAGCACGAAGAAGGAAGAAAGGGCAGGCAGCUGACUGAAAAACUGGUUGCCUGUGAACCUAGCCCUAUUGCUGGGGGCGGAGGUUGGAUACUGGGGACUUUUGAGGAAAUACCAACGUCCCUGCCAAAGAAAGGGGCCAGAGGCACGGAAUCUCCCUAUUUCCCGUGUAAUAGAUGUUGUUCUAUGUUUUUAUAGCUAAUGUAUUUCGGAAAUGGCCCGCGAGGGACUUAAGGACAUGGAUUUGCCCUUAAUUCGCCUGAGUUACGAAUUUAAUUCAGCUGCUUCCUUGAGACCAAGUGACAGACGACCCACAAGUGAAGAUUUUGCCGCACUGGCUUGAACAAACCCCUGCGAAACAGGACGAUGUCAUAAUCUCAAGCACUCUGAAAUUAAAACUCCUCAAUUCCGCCAGAUUACACUCAUUCGUUAAAGAGGUGCCCCCCGAAGAAAAGAGGAUAACCGUGUAUCCCACUUUUAGAAGGAGCCAGCUAUAGCCUUCAUGUUUUCCUGCCAGACUCCAGCCUCCAUGACCUUCCCUGAGUUCCAAAGGGCAGAUUCCAACAGUUGCCAAUCAAGGGAGGAGUGGCCAAGAAACCACCUGAGGGGAGAUUAAAGGGACCAGAGAAGCUCAUCAAGUCUUGAUGCUGUAUUUGAUGUGUAGGAGAAGCGGGUGCCCUUCACUAGGGAGCCACACACGCACUCAGUCCAGGAUUUGGAGAAAAUGGAGGAGGAGAUCUGCCAGGAGGUGGAGUGGAUUCGUUUCCUGGGGCUGCCAUGACCACAAAUUGAGUGGCUCAGAACAACAGAAAUGUACUCGCUCACAGGUAUGGAGGUCACGCGUCUGAAAUCAAGGUGCUGGCAGGGACAUCCUCCCCCCGAAGGCUCUAGGGGAGACUCCUUUCUCACUUCUGGUGGUGGCUGGCAAUCUUUAUAGCUGCUUCACUCCAAUCCCUGCCUCUGUUUUCACAUGGCAUUCUUCCUUAUGUGUCUGUAUUUCUGUGUCUUCACAUGGUCUUCUUAUAAGGACAUCAGUCUUCUUAUAAGGACAUCAGUCAUUGGAUUUAGGGCCCCGCCCUGUCCUAGUAGGACCUCAUCUUAAUGUAACUAAUUACAUUUGCAAAGACCCUAUUUCCAAAUAAGGUUACAUUCUGAGAGUCUAGAUGGAUGUGAAUUGGGGGAGAGGGGAGGGGACAACACCCACAAGUUCAACCCCCUACACGGAGGA